UUUAUUCAUAUCGUCAUGCAUUCAACAUUUUUUUCCGUCCCACAAUUCCCUGCGAUAGCUGUGCGAAGUGUCGUUCUUUUUGACUCUGCGAAAUUCAACUUUCUGAAAUACAAUAGCAAGACUAAUUAUCUGUUUAUAGAAUUAGUCUCCGGAAUCAUGAUUUUCUGAGUGAAAUUCAGCUGAGCAGAAAAUAUAUGAGGGAACAUCUACAUCGAAAUUAUGGCAUUCCAUACAAAUAAAAAUCCAAUGGGAUCAAGUUCUUAGCAGUCCCAGCCCAGUCAGAAGUACCAAGUCAACUACCAUUUACACAUCACCAAGAGUUACAAUCUGAUGAGGAACAGGAUAUAUGAACUCAAAACUUGUAAGGUUCCGCAGGCAGUUUGAGUAUCACCAGGGCAGACUAUAAGAAGAAAUAUGGAGGCCAAGUUCAUAACAAGUAGUUACUUCAUCA